CUGCGGAAGGAUCAUUAUUGAAAUAAAUCUGAUGAGUUGCUGCUGGUUCUCUAGGGAGCAUGUGCACACUUGUCAUCUUUAUAUCUCCACCUGUGCACCUUUUGUAGACCUGGAUAUCUCUCUGAAUGCUUAGUCGCUCAGGUUUGAGGAUUGACUUUACGUCUCUCCUUACAUUUCCAGGCCUAUGUUUCUUUAUAUACCCCAAUCUAUGUUAUAGAAUGUAAUCAAUGGCCUUUGUGCCUAUAAAGUUAUACAACUUUCAGCAACGGAUCUCUUGGCUCUCGCAUCGAUGAAGAACGCAGCGAAAUGCGAUAAGUAAUGUGAAUUGCAGAAUUCAGUGAAUCAUCGAAUCUUUGAACGCACCUUGCGCUCCUUGGUAUUCCUAGGAGCAUGCCUGUUUGAGUGUCAUUAAUAUAUCAACCUCUUGAAGCUUCUGCUUGUUGAGUGUUGGAKGKGGGGGNUUCUUUUUUGCUGGUCUUCCCAGGUCAGCUCCCCUGAAAUGCAUUAGCGGAACAAUAUGUGGACCGUUCAUUGGUGUGAUAACUAUCUACGCUAUUGACGUGAAGCAGGUUCAGCUUCUAACAGUCCAUUGACUUGGACAAAUUUUAUUAAUGUGACCUCAAAU
rnacentral:rRNA from 1 species